UACAUACUAGCCAAAUGGUAAGGCGCUUGAUUUAGGUUCAAGUCUAUGCAGGUUCGAUCCCUGCGUAUGAAC
rnacentral:tRNA from 1 species